rnacentral:rRNA from 1 species
CAGGGAAUCUUGCACAAUGGGCGAAAGCCUGAUGCAGCGACGCCGCGUGGGGGAUGAAGGCCUUAGGGUCGUAAACCCCUUUCAGCAGGGACGAAAAUGACGGUACCUGCAGAAGAAGCCCCGGCCAACUACGUGCCAGCAGCCGCGGUAAGACGUAGGGGGCGAGCGUUGUCCGGAUUUAUUGGGCGUAAAGAGCUCGUAGGCGGUUGCGUAAGUCGGAUGUGAAAACUCAGGGCUCAACCCUGAGACGCCAUCCGAUACUGCGCUGACUUGAAUCCAGUAGGGGAGUGUGGAAUUCCUGGUGUAGCGGUGAAAUGCGCAGAUAUCAGGAGGAACACCCAUGGCGAAGGCAGCACUCUGGGCUGGUAUUGACGCUGAGGAGCGAAAGCAUGGGUAGCGAACAGGAUUAGAUACCCAGGUAGUCCCUGAGCGGGCUGGCAAGGCGCAU